rnacentral:lncRNA from 1 species
UCUUCCCGUCCUCGCCGGUGUUACCUGCAAAUAAAAAACACACACAGCAAGGGCAGUCGAUUUUAAGUUUUUUUCUUAGUUUUUUCAAAUCUGUUUUUUUUUGUGUUCUUUCUUUCUCCGCCGUCUUCGAUCUGCCCCUCUCUGCAGAUUGUUUCUGUUUCCUCUUCUUCUGUUCAGAUGGCCGGCGGUUGUGGGUGUCUUCUUCUCCUCUAUUUCUGGUGGUGGAUCCGGCGGUUGCAAAAAGGGGGAGCGACGCUGUUGUGGAAAGGAACAGCGGUGGCUGGCCUUGCUGCUGCUUGUCCGGUGGGCGCUGGGUUUCGUCUUCUUCUCCUCUGCUUCGGGUGGCAGAUCGGUGGCUUGGUGGAGGUGGGAGAACGGCUCUGUGGGGAGGAGCCGCUGCUGAAAGGGAGAUAAGGAAAGGGGAGUAGCGGGGGCUUUCCUUCUGUUUUCUGUUGAAAGGAGCUGAAGAUCCGCCCGGCUGAAGGGAGAAGAUAAACGAAGAAAAAAAAUGGCCUGGGGUGAGGCUUGUCCGGCGGCUGAGGAGGAAGAAAAUCAAGAGGGAGGGGUUCGGGGCUGUCUUUGUUUUCAAGUGGUGUUUUUCUAUUUUUUGAAAAAAUAGGGGCGGCCAUGGUUGAGGGGAGAAGCUGGAGAAAGAAAUGAAGGAGAGGUGGGGGCUGCUGGCUUUGAAAGUGGAAAGGGGGGAAUAAGCCGGCUCUGGUUUCUGAAGGAUGAGUAGCCGAAGGAGAAGAAAGGGAGAAACAGCCUAGAGGAGGAUCAGGGAGCUGUCUUGGAUUUUUUCUUGUGGCCGGCGGCUGUAGAAAAAAAAUUAAAACCAGGGGGGAGGGGGCGGCGACUGCCUUAAAAAAAUGGGUUUUAGGUUUAGGUUUUGUGUUUUUUUCUGUGAUAUUUCAAAAUUGCCCCCCCCCCUUUUUUUGCAAGUGUUGGAAACCAGUAUUUAUAGACAAAAUUUUGCUAGGUUUUUCAACUUGGUCCCUCAACUUCUUUCUUUUUGUAAAUUUUGAUUUUUAAUAUUUUUUUGUAUUUUUUUUUAAAACGAGCAAUAUCAACGUCGACUCAAAAUACGGAAAAUCAAUGAUUUUAAAAAUGACGCGUGAAAAGUCGAACGCGUUCGAAAAUCUUUUGAAAAAUUAAAUUCUUUAAAUAAAAAUUAAAAUCUUUUUAGACGACGCUGAAAAUGCUAAAAUGACAAGAAUAUAUUAAAAAAACAUAUUUUUUAGAUUUUCAUUGUUUUUCUCUAUUUUUGGAUUUUUUUGAAAAUAUAUCAAAACAUGGGUCAAAAAUUGGGUAGCAACAGAUGCCCCCUCUUUACAAUGGUUACGAAGCAAAACUCUUCAAAAUUUUGCAUAGUAAGCUUUGUAAAGAAAACAAAAGGAAAAUGAUUUCAUUAUCUUGGGCAACCUGCCCACACACUCACACUGAUCUGUUUUCACGGGCGACCUACCCACACGUACUCACUCAAGUCUAUUUUCACGGGCAACCUGCCCACACAUACUCACUCAAAUCUAUUUUCACGGGCGACCGACCCACACUCUCCCAAUAGUCUAUUUUCACGGGCGACCUGCCCACACAUUGGGUUUACCUGAGAUCCCAUCUAGCGACCUCAUUCAACUGGAACGAAAAUAUGUGUAACUCGGUUAACCUGAAAUCCCAUCUGGCGAUUCCCUUUAACCAAAGUUACAUGAGAUCCCAUCUGGCGACCUCAUUCAACUGGAACGAAAUAUGUGUAACUCGGUUAACCUGAAAUCCCAUCUGGCGAUUCCCUUUAACCAAAGCUACAUGAGAUCCCAUCUGGCGACCUCAUUCUGGUCUCAUUGUACGGGUGACUAACCCUCGAAAAAUGUUGGUCUCAUUGUACGGGUGACGAACCCUAGUGCUGCUGGUCUCAUUGUACGGGUGACGAACCCUAGAAAAAUACUAGUCUCAUUGUACGGGUGACGAACCCUAGAAAUAUGAUGGUCUCAUUGUAUGGGUGACGAACCCAGAAAAAUGAUGGUCUCAUUGUAUGGGUGACGAACCCCAGAAAAAUGAUGGUCUCAUUGUAUGGGUGACGAACCCAAGAAAUAUGAUGGUCUCAUUGUAUGGGUGACGAACCCAAGAAAAAUGAUGGUCUCAUUGUAUGGGUGACGAACCCAGAUGGAAAAAAUGUGAAGUGCGGUCUCAUUGUAAUGGGUGACCUACCCACGUGGAAAAAAUAUGAAGAACGGUCUUAUUAUGAUGGGCGACCUACCCCGAUGGAAAAAAUGUGAAAAGCGCGGUCUUAUUAUGAUGGGCGACCUACCCAGAUGGAAAAAAUGUGAUAUAACAAGUGUGAAAAAUAGGACUUACCUGGCGAAGUUCUGAAGGGAUGACAGAAGAAAGGGCUGGAAAACUUGGUGCUUCCUGAUAAUUCUCGAUCAUAGGGUUUGAAAACUCGGUGUUUCCUGACUGCAAGGGUUGAAAACUCGAGGUUUCCCAAUUGCAAGGUUGAUCUUUUCAUUUCUUUGGGAUUUUCCUAAUGGUAGGGUUCAUCCCAUCGUCCUUUUAUUCCAUGAUCAAAACCGGUUCUUUAUUAUCACCACAAUGCUUCUUUCUCUUUCCACCAUCUUGCUGGACCUCAUUACGGAUUUUCCUGUAACAAUUCAAAAAUAUGUGCAAAUGUUGUUGUUUUUUUUUUUUUUUUUUUUUGAGGUUAGAUGAUAUGCAUGCAUCCUUACCUGAUUUGAAAUAUAGGUCCCCCCUCUUUGAUGCUCCAUCGUCAUAGGGUGCCCUUGUUUGUAUCCCAAAGCUUUCUUUGUUCUUUCGAUGCAUUGGCUCAUUCAUGUGCUAGCCAUCCACUCAGCUGUAAAUGCAGUGCCCAUCCCGGGCAGUCUUCGAUAAUUACUGCUUGCAUCGUUCAUGAAGCUUGACCCUGCCCCCAAGUGUAGUACUGCUUGAUUCAUCAUGAGAGAUUUUCUCUCCUGGCUUCUUCUGAGAAAUUAUCCUCUGAUUUAUUGUGUGCAUCAUGCCAACACCCAUCACGUUUGUUAAUCAGUCAUGAACUUGCCUUCGGUUGAAACACCAUUCAAGUAUGUAUGGUCACCAGCCUUCAUGGAACUGCCAAGCCAUCCAGACAUGUAUCUCAUGCUUUGCAGUAAACAGCUCAUCAUUGUAAGCGCGAUGUAUUUCUCUAUGGAUUCCUCUUAGCUUGUCAAAUCAGAUCGUGAAAAUACCUGCUUUGGCAUCAUCAAUGAUGUUCAUGUUAUCACCCAUAUUCAUGCGGUGAAGUGUGCAUUUAAGCUUCAGAAUAGAUGUCCCACAAUCAGUCUUCGAGGUGGGUGUCUUUCCGACAUUCAUUCAGUGCAGUUGUGUGAUAACAUCUGUCUAUAACCAUGUUUCAAAGGAUGACAAUAUGAGAUUGUCCUUUAAGUGCAGCAUUGUUCCACAGUCAGUCUUGGUGGUAUGCAUCUUUUCUCAAUUCAAUUACAUUCAUCUGUGUAUUCCUCAUCGAUCGCGAGCCAUGUUUAAAAAAUGAUGAUAGGAAAGUGCCCUUCAGGUACGUUUUUGUUUCUCCAUUGCCGGCAGGAUUCACUAAAGCAUGGGCCAUUUUGGAAUGACAUUGCCCCCAGUAUGAUCCGAAUGUGCUCGUUCAUUGAUUAUCUGUCUUUGAACAUCGUUGUCUUCAGUUCACUGAUUCAUCAUUUAAACAUUGCCUCAUAACUGAUCUGAGCACUGCUUGUUUUUCCUUUUCAAGGUCUACUGUAUUGCCCCCAGCUGCUCAACUUUUCAAGGAGUGUCGAGGACUUCAAUGUCAUUUCUAUCAACGAUUUUGCAUACUCAAUCAAUGUUCUUCUGUGUUUGAUAAUCUUCCUUGUUCUGGAAUCAACUCUCAUAUUUCAAAGAUCAUGUCUAUUCAAAGUCUAGUUUGUUGAAAUAAAAUCAGAGAUGUCUUUUUUGAAAAUCUUUUGAAAAUCAAGCUUUUUGAUCAAAGGCCCAACACAUUUUAUUCGAAAUAUAUAGUCCUUUGAUUGUCAUGCAUUUUGAAAACAGAAAUUGACCCAAUGUAGGAUUAAAAAUGGCUUUUUCCAUGGUUCUUUGUAUCAAUUUGAAUCCUUGAUAUUGGGUAUAUCAUUUGAUAGUUUAUGGUGAGGUGACCUUUUUUUUGUGAAUUUCAAAUGAUUAGAUGCUCAGGCUUGAUAAAGAAAGGUUGUUUCUCUUCUUAUAACUUGUUUUAUCAGCAUGCAUAAUAACCAAUAGCUUAAUUCAUGAAGUCACGACCUUUAUGGAAAAGCUCUUCAAGUUUUGAGAGCGCCAUUUAUCGGUUCAAAUUGCUUGCUUGAUUAAAAAGGGCUUUUAAAAGCACGUAAUGCAGGCUAUGGUUCAUGGCUAUGAAAGAAAGGAAUUUCAAAGGCUCAAAAGGUGUUUGAGGGUUUCAACGACUGUCGCACCCCAAAAAAAAAUCAGCGCGCGGCAUCGGCUGGCGAUUUAAGUCUCGUUGCGUAAUGUUUGAAUUUGGUUCGUUGGAGUCGCCACCUAGUAAUUUAUUGAAGGCUACUAGGAAACCAGAUAGACUGGCCUGGUCAUAGAUUCGCGGGUAAGGAACUAGUUGUGGUUAGGGAAGGUAUUAGCACCCCUAACGCACCCUACCUGAGGUAAGCUGCUUCGCGACUUUGAUGUGUUAAAGAAGUUUUAAUAAUUGUCUUUUCGUCGGAAAUUAGAAAUAUCACUUACGUAUAAGUUAAUAAUUCUUAACCGUGAUCCGAUCAAAAUAUUAAAUUCUUCUUUAAUAGAUUUGCAAUUUUAUCCUAAAAAAUAAAUAAAGAAAUAAAUAAAAUAACAAAUUCAUAAAACAAAUACAAACACACACAUACACUUUCACUAUUUUCAUUUCUUUUUUUUUUCUUUUCUUUUUUUCUUUUCUUUUACAUCCACAAUACAAAUACAAAUACAAAUUCAAAAUAAAUAAAUAAAAAUACGCCAACACACACAUCCCCUUUGUUAUUAUUAUUUUCUUUUCUUUUCUUCUUUUUUUUUUCUUUUACAUUCACAUAUUAUAAAUUUAAACUAAAUAAACAAAAAUUACAUUAAAACUUUAAAAUUUACAAAAUGGUCCCUAAACAAUUCAUAACAGUGCUGGGAAACCCUUCAGGAACAGUUCUGGGCUGCCUGAACAGCAGCGGCGUGUGGACCCCACGCAUCGCCGUGAGCCCACGCGCCGCCCCAAAAAUCAGGCAGCGUGAGGGGGGGGGCUGCAAUGCUUCCUCCUCUCUUCGAUCUCUUCCCCUGCAAAUAAAAAAAAACACACAGCCAGGGCAGUCAAUUUUAAGUUUUUCUUAGUUUUUUCAAAUUUGUUUUUUUUUGUUCUUUCUUUCUCCGCCUGCUGCUCCCUCUUCUUCUUCAGAUCGUCUGUACAGGCGACGACUGCUGGAGCCCGGAGCAACGGGUGGCGCCGCUGGGUUUCGUCUUCCUCUCCUCUGCUUCGGGUGGCAGAUCGGUGGCUUGGUGGAGGAUCUGGAAGGCGGUGGCUUGCUUCUGUUCGGCCGCCGCUGGGGGAGGAGCUGCGGAGAGUAGAGGGAGGAUCUGUGGAGGGGGGAUCACCGCUGGUUGGCUUGGAGUUGAGGCCGGUGUGCAGGGGAGAGGAAGGAGAGAAAAAAAAUCGAACCCAGCGGGGGGAAAGGUGCCGAUCCUUUGGUUUUUUUUUCUGGUUUUGGGUGAGUCGGGUGAAGGGAAUGAUCGCCGGGGAAGAGGAGGCUGGAGUCCGACUGUUUUUUGGGGAAGAAAAAUUUAAAAAAUCAUGUGCGGCUGUUUGGCUGAUCUCCAAAAAAUCAAAGGCCAAGGUCGGGGCGGCUGUUGGAAAAAAUUCAAAACCAGGAGGUGGGGGUUUUUGGUUUUUUUCUUUUGCCGAGAGGGCUGGUCUCGAAAAAUCCAAGCCAAAGGUGGGGCGGCUGUGUUUUUUUUUUAGGGAAGGGGCGGCUCUGUAUGAGAGGGUUUAGGUUAGGGUUUUCUGUAUUUUUUUUUAGAUGUUGUCAAAAUUGCCCCCCCCUUAAAAAAUCAGUUUAGCAUGGUAUUUAUAGGCAAAAAUAUUGCUAGGUUUUUCGACUUGGUCCCUCAACUUCUUUCUUUUUGUAAAUUUUGAUUUUUCUUUUUUUUUGUAUUUUUUGAAAACGAGCAAUAUAAACGUCGACUCAAAAUGCGGAAAAUCAAUGAUUUUAAAAUGACGCGUGAAAAGUCGAACGCGUUUGAAAAUAUUUUAACAAUUUAAAUUCUUUUUUAGACGCCGUUGAAAAUGCUAAAAUGACGAAAAUAUAUUAAAAAAAUAUUUUUUGGAUUUUCUUUGUUUUUCUCAAUUUUUUUUGGAUUUUUUGAAAAUAUAUAAAAACAUGGGUCAAAAAUUGGGUAGCAACAACGACCUAGGACCAACAUUAACUAUUCAUCGAUUCUCUUUCUCUUGUUGUCAUUGUAAAGAGAGUGACAUAUAACCUUGUUAAUCUUCAAAUAGAAUUCUCUUAACAUAGGUCAUAAUCCAAAUCCCACUUUUUCUUUGAUGAAUAACUAAUCUAAAUCAUCUGAUAACAUCGUAGGUUUUAUAAUGGAUACCAAAAGUCAACGCUUAUAGCUUAGUCUUUUUCUGGUAUUGACUUUUGUUGUGCCUUUCCUCGAUUGAAAUUUCUUUUGCUCUUCAUAGACUUGAUAGGCGUUCUCCUUCCUUUAUCUUUGACUUGUAUUUAAGUGAGGGCAAUUUCAACUUCCUUUUUUCAUUCUCUUUUUUUUUUUCAUAGCCUUCCUCAAAAUUUUCUGAUAUGCCCCCAUGUCUAUGUGUUUUCUUUUAGCUCUCUCUCAAUCAUUGGACCUUUGUUCUAAGCCUUCCCCUUUAUCCAUUAAUUAUAUCAAUGUCUCCAAAAUAUCUCUCAUUUGCCCCCAGUGUGGGGUGUGAUCCUAGUCAGGGUUUCCUUUUUUUGAAAGAAAAUAUUUUACCAGGCUCAAAAUGGGACUGCAAGGGAUAUAAUCUUUAGAAAGUGAAGGGAUAUCAAAGAUGGCCUUUUCUCAUUUCAAGCAAGGUCGGUUAGAACCGAUAAAUUUUGACCUCAUCCAGUGUAAUGAUUGGGACUUGUAAGAAUCAUGAUUCACGAGUCCAUGACUACCGAAUCCACUACAUGUCAUUAUGCAUACUGUUAAAACUUAGCUAUAUGAUGUGUGGUUCAGUUUCAGGAGGUAUGAGUUCAAAAUUGUUUGGUCACCUCAUGUCAUUUUCAAUAGAGUCAUUUCUGUAAUCAAAACACUUCUAAUCUUCCGGAUUGAUUAACCUUUAUCGCAUGUUGUAGUUUGAUCAAAAUAUUUUGUCAGAAUAAAAUGCUAAACAUCUGUUGAUUUCAAAACAACAAAGAGACAAAAGCAAGGCAUGUUUCGUUGAAGGAUGAGAUGUGAUCCCAAAACAAAAUGCAGAAUUCCAUAACAAUAUGAUUGACUGUUCAUCACCCUUCUCGAAUCAGCUUUUCUGGCAAUAUCUGUGUUUUGCCAAGCAUUUUCGAUCACAUGUCCUUCUGAAGAUGUUCGGGGAACAAUAUAGCCAGUGACACCCUUCUUCAACGACUCCACCUGUCUCUUGCUCACCAACUUCCAGACUCAAUUCUUGCAUUCUUGAAACUGUUCACUUGAAAUGGUUGAGGACCCCACCAUGACAUCACAUCUCUUAUCUGGAUUAUACCACUAAGAAAUUGGUGGUUGCAUGGGAAUUUGUCGGAGUCAAGCAAAAUUCUGGAAUCUUGCGGAUGCUGGUCGACAACUUAAACGGCAGAGCAAUGUCCCAUCUUGGCAAAGAUAUUUUGAGCAAUUGAUGAUGCCGUGAGACCUGGCUAUACCACAUAAUUAAGGGUUCACACUGUCAAAGUCAUCUCCUGAUUCACCUCUCAUCAUUGUUCUAGAAUCCAUGGCAGAUCCUUCAAUCUUCCAAUGUUGCUAUGGUUGGUUGAGGAUUGUUAGAAAACUUUCUAACAGCUUGGUAAUCUUGGCAGCAUCCAGAAACUUGUAGUAUCGCCACUACCGACGUGUGGAAUCACACAUUGUCUUUAUUGGAAGAGCACCUGAUGAAUCUAAAACUCCUUCGUCCCCUCUUCAAUUUCUCACUGACAGUGCAGCAAACAAACACCUAUAGAGGAAGUCCUGCUCUGUUGAAGUUUCAGUAUUCUUCAUGUUUUUCAGUCUAGGCAUGUAUCUUCUCUCUACUUUUGCAUUUUAAUACUGACACUGUUGGAGAAAAAUCAUAAAUGAUCUGAAACUACUGUAUUCCUUCUUGGAUUUCACACUUGCGGAUCCACAAACAGAUUCCUGUCGGGAGAGCUCUGCUACGUUGAAGUUUGAUGUCUGCUCAUAUUUUUCAAGCCAAGUCUGGCUCUUCAACCUGCUAUAGUUUCUUCGUGCUGAAACUGAUGAGAGAAAUAUUUGUAGCAUAUGCAAUUAGUAAAUCCCCUCUUGCAUUCCCAAUUUGCAGAGCCAUAAAUGGAUUUUUGUAGAGAGAGCUCUGCCACAUUGAAGUUUGACAACUACUAAUAUUAUCAGACCAGGUCUGACUCUUCUGCCUACUACAAUGUUUUGCUGGUGCCACUGGUGGGAAAUAGUUUCAAAGCAUAUGAAAUUAAUACAUUCCCUUUUGCAUUUGCCAUUGACAGAUCCACAAAUAAAUCUCUACAGAGAGAGCUCUACCGCGUUGAAAUUCAGUGUCUGAUCAUGGUUUUUUUUUUUUAGACCAACAUCUUGUGCUGCUGAACUGGAAUUGAGCUCAUAAUUGGGGUAACUUCAAAGCAGACUAAUGCACCAUGACAGGAGGUUAGUAGUCGUUUGGUUCCAUUAGAUGAUGUGGAGGCGAUGAAUACUUAACAGCGCAACUGGACAGGAAUCAGAGUUGUCAUUAGUUGAUGACUGAAGGCGUUGUUGCUGUUGUUCAUGACUGAAAAGGAAAGGUACAGCUUCAAUUGGACGUGAACAAGCAGUGUUCCCACAGAAAACUGUGCAGACAUUCUCUUUUCAUUUGAUGCUCAACACUUGUUCGAGCAGAUCUGAGUCCCGCUACUUCACUCUUGAUGCUCUCAACCUUAAUCUGAUACUGAACCUAUAUCUGACUCCUUUGUUCACUUCCAUUAUUUUUCUUCAAUCUCGUGCAGCACAACUUGUACAAGGGACCUACGUUUCGACCCGGUUCAUGCAUGAUAAAUGUAUGAACAUGUAAUCUAUAUGAUGAACUCUCCCUUCGAGAGGUGACAAUAUGGUCGUAACUCUUGUAUGAUGGACAAGAAUCGUGAUUUUUGCCCAAACUCUACAAUGAAAAUUUUCGGAGCAACGGCCAAUGUGUCACCCACAAGUCUUGAGUUCAAGAUGCUUCAAGAAGGGUUUGCCCUUAUGCAAAAAACGAUAGCACAUACAACCUAAGGACAGGUUCUAUUCAUUAUGUGAACAUGGGUAAGUUUUCUAUCUGGUCUCAAAAGGGUCUCAUAUCUGCCCAGUGACGUUCUUCGUAAAGACAGUUUGGGGGCGUUGCAAGGAAUGGUUAAGGUACGUAUACCCACCAUUACCAAGCAGGCACUCAGAUAUGAGUUGGGUGUUUCACGCAUCUGAACCCUGACCAAUAGUCUUAGGGCAGAUCGCUAGUUCCCCACCUAACCUAGAAGGCUUGUGUGUGCUUUUAAAAAUAAAUACAGGUGAUGCAUGAGACAAUUCUAUAAAAUGCAUGGAAAUAAAUAUUAACAAAAAGAUAAAAAUGCAAAAACUUAAACACAUCAAAUACACAAAGCUUAGUCCAAUAAUCGGAAAAAAUACCUUCCCCAGUGGAGUCGCCAUUCUGUCGCACCCCAAAAAAUCAGCGCGCGGCAUCGGUUGGCGAUUUUUCAUCUCGUUGUUGUUUGCUUGAAUUCGUUCGUUAGAGUCGCCACCUAGUAAUUGAUUGGGCUACUAGGAAACCGGAUGUACUGGUCUUGUCAGAGAUUCGCGGGUAAGGACUGGUUGUGGUUAGGGAAGGUAUUAGCACCCCUAACGCACCCUACCUGAGGUAAGCUGCUUCGUGGCUUUGACGUGUUAAAGAAGUUUUAAAAUUGUCUUUUCGUCGGAAAUUAGAAAUAUCACUUACGUAUAAGUUAAUAAUUCUUAACCGUGAUCCGAUCAAAAUAUUAAAUUCUUUUUUAUAUUUUGCAAUUUUAUCUAAAAAAAAUAAAAAUAAAUAAAACAAAAUACACAUACACACUAUUUUCAUUUCUUUUUCUUUUUUUUUUUCUUUUCUUUUACAUCCACAAUACAAAUACAAAUUCAAAUUCAAAAUAAAUAAAUAAAAAUACACCAACACACACAUCCCCUUUUUUAUUAUUAUUUUCUUUUCUUUUCUUCUUUUUUUUUUACAUUCACAUAUUACAAAUUUAAAAUAAAUAAACAAAAAUUACAUUAAAACUUUAAAAUUUACAAAAUGGUCCCUAAACAAUCCAUAACAGUGCUGGAAACCCUUCAGGAACAGUUCUGGGCUGCCUGAACAGCAGCGGCGCGUGGACCCCACGCACCUGGCGGCGCGCUGCCCCGAAAAAAACGCAGCAGGAGGUCUGGUGGCAGCUUCAUCCCCUCUUCCCGUCCUCGCCGGUGUUACCUGCAAAUAAAAAACACACACAGCAAGGGCAGUCGAUUUUAAGUUUUUUCUUAGUUUUUUCAAAUCUGUUUUUUUUUGUUCUUUCUUUCUCCGCCGUCUUCGAUCUGCCCUCUCUGCAGAUUGUUUCCGUUUCCUCUUCUUCUGUUCAGAUGGCCGGCGGUUGUGGGUGUCUUCUUCUCCUCUAUUUCUGGUGGUGGAUCCGGCGGUUGCAAAAAGGGGGAGCGACGCUGCUGUGGAAAGGAACAGCGGUGGCUGGCCUUGCUGCUGCUUGUCCGGUGGGCGCUGGGUUUCGUCUUCUUCUCCUCUGCUUCGGGUGGCAGAUCGGUGGCUUGGUGGAGGUGGGAGAACGGCUCUGUGGGGAGGAGCCGCUGCUGAAAGGGAGAUAAGGAAAUGGGAGUAGCGGGGGCUUUCCUUCUAUUUUCUGUUGAAGGGAGCUGAAGAUCCGCCCGGCUGAAGGGAGAAGAGAAACGAAAAAAAAAAAAUGGCCUGGGGUGAGGCUUGUCCGGCGGCUGAGGAAGAAGAAAAUCAAGAGGGAGGGGUUCGGGGCUGUCUUUGUUUUCAAGUGGUGUUUUUCUAUUUUUUUGAAAAAAUAGGGGCGACCAUGGUUGAGGGGAGAAGUUGGAGAAAGAAAUG